AUUGAACGCUGGCGGCAGGCCUAACACAUGCAAGUCGAACGGUAACAGGAAGCAGCUUGCUGCUUCGCUGACGAGUGGCGGACGGGUGAGUCAUGUCUGGGAAGCUGCCUGAUGGAGGGGGAUAACUACUGGAAACGGUAGCUAAUACCGCAUAAUGUCGCAAGACCAAAGAGGGGGACCUUCGGGCCUCUUGCCAUCGGAUGUGCCCAGAUGGGAUUAGCUUGUUGGUGGGGUAACGGCUCACCAAGGCGACGAUCCCUAGCUGGUCUGAGAGGAUGACCAGCCACACUGGAACUGAGACACGGUCCAGACUCCUACGGGAGGCAGCAGUGGGGAAUAUUGCACAAUGGGCGCAAGCCUGAUGCAGCCAUGCCGCGUGUAUGAAGAAGGCCUUCGGGUUGUAAAGUACUUUCAGCGGGGAGGAAGGGAGUAAAGUUAAUACCUUGGCUCAUUGACGUUACCCGCAGAAGAAGCACCGGCUAACUCCGUG
rnacentral:rRNA from 1 species